CCAAUACGAUCCAAUGGGUGAUACGAUCCAAUGGUGGCUCCCGAUCUCCAUCAACGUCAACAAUAAUACAUUAAAAAAAAAUUAAAAAAUUAAAAACAACAGAUAAUAAAUACGUGGAUAUAUUUUUUUUUUAUGUUGUGAUUUUGUUGGGCCCAACCCUCAUUGAAAUGGGGGGGGGAAAGGGUUUGUAAAUCGCGGUGUUUCUUUAACAGAGAGCAUACAAUAAAAUUCAUAUGGAAGUUUAGAUUUUAUUCUCCAUCCUAGCCUAUUGUAAUUUCUCCAGUUUUGUUUUGAGAAAUAGUUUAUAAACCAGUUUAUUGACUUUUUAAUUUAUUUAAAUCACAUUACUUCUCUACUUUUUACAUGUAUUUCCGUAAUAAACAAAAAAACUAGCAUAUUUUACACUUUCCAAAACAACAUUUGUAACUUCUGUUGCUCUCUGACUAUUGAAGGAAGAGGACGCUUGCAGCAAUCUGUAAACGCACAGCAUAUGUGCACACUGCCUCUGAAUCCAACAAUAGCAGUUGUUGACAACAAAAACUAAAAGCAUCCUCUUCAAACUUUCAGAUAAUCAAUUUUUUUCAACUUAAUUAAACUAUUUUUGCUUCAUAAAUCAUAAGCAAAAGCUGCACCAAGCAUCCUAACAUGGAUUUACACAAA